UCUCCGCAAGCCGAAGGACCCUAGAGAAAGGCACUUCCGUUUCCGGGGCGGGACUAGGGCGCAGAGGCGGAAGUGACUCGGCGCGGCUCGGAAGCCCACGGGCUUGCGCGUUGCCUAGGGUUCACUGGGGCGAGCAAUAAGCAAGUAAUCCUGGGGUUGGCAUCACAGGCUCAGUCUUGCGUGUGAGUAAUGGUUCUAUAUCAGUUGGCACCACUGAGGAUUUGCUGUGCUUUAAACAAAUUGCUUUUAUGUGUGUGGGUGUUUUGUCUACAUGUAUCUCUGUGCACCAUAUGCAUGCUGGGUGCCCUCAGAGGCCGGGAGAAGGUGUGGAUCCCCUGGAACUAGAGUUACAGAUGGUUCUGAAAUCAACAUGUGGGUGCUGGGAGUCAAACUCUGGACCUCUGGAAAAGCAAUAUUGUCCAGGGCUUUCUCACAGCUCCUAGAGACGGACCUCAGACGUGCAUCACGUGGACCUCUGAAAACAUGGAGCUCAUUGCUCCAAAGCCAACUGGAGAGCUUCUCCCAAUCCUGCUGCUGCUGCUGCUACAGCUGCUUACAACAGCCAUUGUCGUGGCUAGAGUCUUAUAUUCACUGUGACACCAUAGGAGAAAUGAUUCCACUUUUGCUGUAUUACAUAAACUAAUAAAAGGAGGAACACCCCACUAUACUCUCAAACCCUGUCUGUACUCAGGGAGAGGUUAUAACCUCAUCAAGGAUCUUUGGAGCCAUUUUUUAGGUCUUGGCAACCAUGGCUCUUGAAUGGGUAACUGCUGGCAGAACAUGAAAUCCUUCUUAAACUGACUGUCCAGUUCUUUCUUUGACAUUCUCUUGAGAACAGCCACUAGUUUAUUAGUGUGCUUAGCAAAUAUGAAUUUCCAAUAUAAAUCAAUAUGGACAUUCAUGUUUCACAGACUUCAAAGUUACAUCUAUGAGCAUAUUUUGUCACAUAGUC